rnacentral:rRNA from 1 species
GACGAACGCUGGCGGCGUGCUUAACACAUGCAAGUCGAACGAUGAAGAAGAGAAACGCGAACUUCGGUUCAAAUUUCACUUCGGAUUAGUGGCAGACGGGUGAGUAACGCGUGAGCAACCUACCUCUUACAAAGGGAUAGCCUCGGGAAACCGUGAUUAAUACCAUAUGACACAUUCAUAAGGCAUCUUAAGAAUGUUAAAGCUACGGCGGUAAGAGAUGGGCUCGCGUCCCAUUAGCUAGUUGGUGAGGUAACGGCCCACCAAGGCGACGAUGGGUAACCGGGCUGAGAGGGUGAACGGUCACAUUGGAACUGAGACACGGUCCAAACUCCUACGGGAAGCAGCAGUGGGGAAUAUUGCACAAUGGAGGGAACUCUGAUGCAGCGACGCCGCGUGAGCGAUGAAGGAAUUCGUUUCGUAAAGCUCUGUUCUAUGGGAAGAAAAGGACUGUACCAUAGGAGAAAGCCCCGGCUAAAUACGUG